AGUGAACGCUGGCGGCGUGCUUAACACAUGCAAGUCGAACGAGAACGGAUUAUAGCUUGCUAUAAUUGUCAGCUAAGUGGCGCACGGGUGAGUAAUAUAUAGGUAACGUGCCCCAAAGAAGAGGAUAACAGAUGGAAACGUCUGCUAAGACUCUAUAUGCCUUUAUGACAAAAGUCAGCAAGGGAAAUAUUUAUAGCUUUGGGAUCGGCCUGUACAGUAUCAGUUAGUUGGUGAGGUAAUGGCUCACCAAGACAAUGACGCUUAACUGGUUUGAGAGGAUGAUCAGUCACACUGGAACUGAGACACGGUCCAGACUCCUACGGGAGGCAGCAGUGGGGAAUAUUGCACAAUGGACGAAAGUCUGAUGCAGCAACG
rnacentral:rRNA from 1 species